rnacentral:precursor_RNA from 11 species
UUAGUAUUGUUACUACUGAUUUUUAGUUCAUGUAAACAUCCUACACUCAGCUGUAUCACAUGAAAUGGCUGGGAGAUGAAUGUUUACUUCAACUGAUUUGGACAGGCGGCCUUCCAGAAU